rnacentral:rRNA from 1 species
AAUAGAUACCCAGGUAGUCCACGCCGUAAACGAUGAGUGCUAGGUGUCGGGGGGGUCCUACCCUCGGUGCCGAAGGUAACCCAUUAAGCACUCCGCCUGGGGAGUACGGCCGCAAGGCUGAAACUCAAAGGAAUUGACGGGGGCCCGCACAAGCGGUGGAGCAUGUGGUUUAAUUCGAAGCAACGCGAAGAACCUUACCAGGGCUUGACAUCCCGCUGACCGCUCCAGAGAUGGAGCUUCCCUUCGGGGCAGCGGUGACAGGUGGUGCAUGGUUGUCGUCAGCUCGUGUCGUGAGAUGUUGGGUUCAGUCCCGCAACGAGCGCAACCCUUAUCGCUAGUUGCCAGCAUUCAGUUGGGCACUCUAGCGAGACAGCCGGUGAAAGCCGGAGGAAGGUGGGGAUGACGUCAAAUCAUCAUGCCCCUUAUGUCCUGGGCUACACACGUGCUACAAUGGCCGGUACAAUGGGUCGCCAACCCGCGAGGGGAGCUAAUCCCACAAAACCGGUCUCAGUUCGGAUCGCAGGCUGC